UACGGGGGGAGCAAGCGUUGUUCGGAAUUACUGGGCGUAAAGCGCACGUAGGCGGCUUUGUAAGUUAGAGGUGAAAGCCCGGAGCUCAACUCCGGAAUUGCCUUUAAGACUGCAUCGCUCGAAUCAUGGAGAGGUGAGUGGAAUUCCGAGUGUAGAGGUGAAAUUCGUAGAUAUUCGGAAGAACACCAGUGGCGAAGGCGACUCACUGGACAUGUAUUGACGCUGAGGUGCGAAAGCGUGGGGAGCAAACAGG
rnacentral:rRNA from 1 species